rnacentral:rRNA from 1 species
UACGGAAGGCAGCAGUGGGGAAUAUUGCACAAUGGGCGCAAGCCUGAUGCAGCCAUGCCGCGUGUAUGAAGAAGGCCUUCGGGUUGUAAAGUACUUUCAGCGGGGAGGAAGGCGAUGUGGUUAAUAACCGCGUCGAUUGACGUUACCCGCAGAAGAAGCACCGGCUAACUCCGUGCCAGCAGCCGCGGUAAUACGGAGGGUGCAAGCGUUAAUCGGAAUUACUGGGCGUAAAGCGCACGCAGGCGGUCUGUUAAGUCAGAUGUGAAAUCCCCGGGCUUAACCUGGGAACUGCAUUUUGAAACUGGCAGGCUUGAGUCUCGUAGAGGGGGUAGAAUUCCAGGUGUAGCGGUGAAAUGCGUAGAGAUCUGGAGGAAUACCGGGUGGCGAAGGCGGCCCCUGGGACGAAGACUGACGCUCAGGUGCGAAAGCGUGGGGAGCAAACGAGGAUUAGGAUACC